AACGCUGGCGGCAUGCCUAACACAUGCAAGUCGAACGGAACUUGUUGAAUGAAGUUUUCGGAUGGAUUUCUUGCUUAUCUUAGUGGCGGACGGGCGAGUAACGCGUGAGCAACCUGCCCUUCAGAGGGGAACAACAGUUGGAAACGACUGCUAAUACCGCAUAACGUGCCUUGAGGGCAUCCUCGAGGCACCAAAGAUUUAUCGCUGAAGGAUGGGCUCGCGUCCGAUUAGAUAGUUGGUGUGGUAACGGCAUACCAAGGCGACGAUCAGUAGCCGUGCUGAGAGGCAGAACGGCCACAUUGGGACUGAGAUACGGCCCAGACUCCUACGGGAGGCAGCAGUCGGGAAUAUUGCGCAAUGGAGGAAACUCUGACGCAGUGACGCCGCGUAUAGGAAGAAGGUUUUCGGAUUGUAAACUAUUGUAGACAGGGAAGAUACAAGACAGUACCUGUAAAGUAAGCCCCGGCUAACUAUGUG
rnacentral:rRNA from 1 species